rnacentral:rRNA from 1 species
GGGCUUGCGUCCGAUUAGCUGGUUGGCGGGGUAAUGGCCCACCAAGGCGAAGAUCGGUAGCUGGUCUGAGAGGAUGGACAGCCACACGGGGACUGAGAUACGGCCCCGACUCCUACGGGAGGCAGCAGCAGGGAAUAUUGCGCAAUGGGCGAAAGCCUGACGCAGCAACGCCGCGUGGGGGAAGAAGGCUUUCGGGUUGUAAACCCCUUUUCUUGGGGAAGGGACGGUACCCAAGGAAUAAGCUUCGGCUAACUACGUGCCAGCAGCCGCGGUAAGACGUAGGAAGCGAGCGUUAUCCGGAAUUACUGGGCGUAAAGGGCGUGUAGGCGGCUUUCUAAGUCUCUGGUGAAAUCUCCCGGCUCAACUGGGAGGGCGCUAGGGAAACUGGGGGGCUUGAGGGCAGCAGAGGGGAGUGGAAUUCCCGGUGUAGUGGUGAUAUGCGUAGAU